rnacentral:rRNA from 1 species
UACAGAGGGUGCGAGCGUUGUCCGGAAUCACUGGGCGUAAAGGGCGCGUAGGUGGCGACCCAAGUCCGUGGUGAAAGCUCGUCGCUUAACGACGAGUCGGCCACGGAGACUGGGUGGCUCGAGCACUGUAGGGGCAGAUGGAAUUCCGGGUGUAGCGGUGGAAUGCGUAGAGAUCCGGAAGAACACCAGUGGCGAAGGCGGGCUGCUGGGCAGUUGCUGACACUGAGGCGCGACAGCGUGGGGAGCAAACAGG